CAGGUGUUCUGCAACAUCGGUAGCAUGACAGAGGGCUUCUUAGAGAGAGGGCGCCCUUGCUACCAGGGUCCACAGGCUCAGUCUCAGCCUGGUUCCUGUUUGUGGUGCCCCUUUCUCAGGCCUGUGGGGAUGUCAGGAGCUUAGGACAGCGCCGGGCUCAAGAGAUGUGGCUACCUUCCCUCCUGCUUUCGGUACUCAGCGCAGGCAGGGUUCAGUGCAGCAAGUAACAGCUGUGGCUUACUGGAUUGUCUGCAACCAUUGGCGACUGAGAGAUCCCUGCAGCCCUCCCAGACCCUCGAUCUGACUGGAGCCAGGCCCACGUGGGGAAAGGGUUAAACGUUGGCAGUGACUUCACCCCUGCAUUGGAGCAGGCGGAGGCAGAGUAGGUAAAAAAAUCAGGACAGAGGCUGGUUGGAAUUUUCCAGCGUUCAUAAACAGGACCAGUCAGGGUUGCUAAGGGAGGUCACCAUGGAAACGGUCACGUGCGCCUGCCUCCUGGUUAUUCCACCCUGGUCAGGAGGAUGAUGCAAGCUCCGAGCCUCUUCAUUGGCUGCCACCUUCCUCUUGCCACCGAAAUCUGGUGGGAGAUUGGCUGAGGACAGUUGCUGGGCUGGAGCUAGCCUUUCCCUUUCUCCCCCAUCCCUCCCACAGGAACCUGCUGGAAGCUGUUCUGAACCAGAGAAGGAUGAAAAUAGCUGCCAAAGAUGUUGCCAUAGCAACUGCUUUCCUUCCUGACCUCCUUGGAAGUGAACUCCCUCAUUUUCCAGAGUAGUCAAGGAAUUUCUGUGCCUCUACCCAUGGCUUUGGUUACCAACUCAUCCCUGGGGGCCUUGGUUUCUUUCUGUGAAAUGGAAUAUUCAUUCCAGCACUCACCACCUUCUAGGCUGGAGUAAGGCUCCAACUUUGCAAAUGCUGUUAGUAAACUGUAGAGCUCCGUGCACUUCCACGUGUCUUUACUUGACCAACACUGACACUCCCUUGGGCUAAUGGCUCUAUAAAUUGGAGGAUGGGGCAGCUGACUUGUUCAACAAGCCCAGAGCCCCAGGACAGAGGACCCCUUUGGAGUUUGAUUCCUGUUCUGUCACCAAAAGCCCCUGGGACCUUCAGCAGGUCACGCAGGCCCCCAGGGACUCAUUUUCUCCUGUAAAAGGACGCCUCUCUAGUUAACUCAAGAGGCCCCUUCCAGCUCUGACAUUCCAUGACCCUAAGUUAAAGGCCAGCCUGCUUUCCGUAAUAAAUCUGUGGAACUUACCAUCCAUAUAGGAGGUGAAAAUGCAGCUAUGCUGCACUGAGUCCUUUCUACAUGGCAGGCACUGCGGCACAUGCAUUCACUGAAUUUUCACGGAAGAUAACUGUCAUGAUUACAGCACCUACCCAUUUUACAGAUGAGGAAAUGGAGGCCCAGAGAAGUUAAGUAAACUUGCUCAAGGUUGCACAGCCAGUAAAUAGCAAUGUCAAGACUUAAAGCCUGGUGGUCCAGCAGCUAGUCCACACAGCUGUCUUUCUAGGUACUGACUAGAAUGACGAAAACAACAUGGGUCAGUUCAUAGCAGGUAAAACGUUGAGUGGAGCAAACCCUGGACGAGGCACCAGCAGCCCUGGGUUCUACCCUAGGCUGUGCCAUUUAAGUGGCA
rnacentral:lncRNA from 1 species